UGCGCGGUAGGAGAGCGUUCUAAGGGCGUUGAAGGUCGAUCGUGAGGACGGCUGGAGCGCUUAGAAGUGAGAAUGCCGGCAUGAGUAGCGAAAGAUCAGUGAGAAUCUGAUCCACCGUAUGACUAAGGUUUCCUGGGGAAGGCUCGUCCUCCCAGGGUUAGUCGGGAUCUAAGGCGAGGCCGCAAGGCGUAGUCGAUGACAAGCAGGUUGAGAUUCCUGCACUAGUUUAUUUUGUUUAAGCGAUGGAGGGACGCAGGAGGCUAAGGAAAGCGCACGGCUGGAAAAGUGCGUCCAAGCAGUAAGUCCGGUGGCGAGUGAAAUGCUUGCCGCCUUAAGGACAAGCUGUGAUGGGGAGCGAAAUUAAAGUAGCGAAGUUCCUGAUGUCACACUGCCAAGAAAAGCUUCUAGUGAGAAAUAAACUACCCGUACCGCAAACCGACACAGGUAGUCGAGGAGAGUAUCCUCAGGUGAGCGAGCGAACUCUCGUUAAGGAACUCGGCAAAAUGACCCCGUAACUUCGGAAGAAGGGGUGCUGACCGCAAGGUCAGCCGCAGUGAAUAGGCCCAAACAACUGUUUAUCAAAAACACAGGUCUCUGCUAAAUCGUAAGAUGAUGUAUAGGGGCUGACGCCUGCCCGGUGCUGGAAGGUUAAGAGGAUGAGUUAGCGCAAGCGAAGCCCAGAAUUGAAGCCCCAGUAAACGGCGGCCGUAACUAUAACGGUCUAAGGUAGCGAAAUUCCUUGUCGGGUAAGUUCCGACCCGCACGAAAGGCGUAAUGAUUUGGGCACUGUCUCAACGAGAGACUCGGUGAAAUUAUAGUACCCGUGAAGAUGCGGGUUACCCGCGACAGGACGGAAAGACCCCAUGGAGCUUUACUUAGCUUGAUAUUGAGUGUUGGUACCGCUUGUACAGGAUAGGUAGGAGCCGUAGAGAUCGGAACGCUAGUUUCGAUGGAGGCAUUGGUGGGAUACUACCCUAGCUGUAUGAACACUCUAACCCGCGCCACUAAUCGUGGCGGGAGACAGUGUCAGGUAGGCAGUUUGACUGGGGCGGUCGCCUCCUAAAAUGUAACGGAGGCGCCCAAAGGUUCCCUCAGAAUGGUUGGAAAUCAUUCGCAGAGUGUAAAGGUAGAAGGGAGCUUGACUGCGAGACUGACAAGUCGAGCAGGGACGAAAGUCGGGCUUAGUGAUCCGGUGGUUCCGUAUGGAAGGGCCAUCGCUCAACGGAUAAAAGCUACCCUGGGGAUAACAGGCUUAUCUCCCCCAAGAGUCCACAUCGACGGGGAGGUUUGGCACCUCGAUGUCGACUCAUCGCAUCCUGGGGCUGUAGUCGGUCCCAAGGGUUGGGCUGUUCGCCCAUUAAAGCGGUACGCGAGCUGGGUUCAGAACGUCGUGAGACAGUUCGGUCCCUAUCCGUCGCGGGCGCAGGAAAUUUGAGAGGAGCUGUCCUUAGUACGAGAGGACCGGGAUGGACGUUCCGCUGGUGUACCAGUUGUGCCGCCAGGCGCAUCGCUGGGUAGCUAUGAACGGAAGGGAUAAACGCUGAAAGCAUCUAAGUGUGAAGCCCCCCUCGAGAUGAGAUUUCCCAUUCCU
rnacentral:rRNA from 1 species